rnacentral:rRNA from 1 species
UAAUACGUAGGGUGCUAGCGUUGUUCGGAAUCAUUGGGCGUAAAGCGCGUGUAGGCGGUUAGAUAAGUCUUGUGUGAAAUCCCUCGGCUCAACCGAGGAAGUGCAUGGGAAACUAUCUGGCUGGAAGACGGUAGAGGAAGGUGGAAUUCCAAGUGUAGAGGUGAAAUUCGUAGAUAUUUGGAGGAAUACCGGUGGCGAAGGCGGCCUUCUGGACCGAUCUUGACGCUGAGACGCGAAAGCGUGGGGAGCAAACAGGAUUAGAUACCCUGGUAGUCCACGCUGUAAACGAUGGGUACUAGAUGUUGGGGGAAUGACCCCUCCAGUGUCGACGCUAACGCAUUAAGUACCCCGCCUGGGAAGUACGGCCGCAAGGUU